GGGGCCUUAGUUAAACGGCUAGAAUAAUUCCUUUGCAAGGAAUAGACAAGAGUUCGACUCUCUUAGGCUCCACCA
rnacentral:tRNA from 1 species